CCGUCUGUGACAGUAGGAGGCCCAACCAGUGACCCAUAUCUGCUGAAGUUUUCGCCUGGGAGAAGAACGGGAGGAGGGAAGAAGGUUUUCUUCUCACAACCUUUCUGUAAAGGCCAGAUUUAUGGAGUGAACGACACUCUGGGAACACUGUGGGAUUCCCCUAGCGGAGCUGGCUCAAGAGAGGGAAGUCUGGGCCUUUCUACUGCUGCCCCUGUGACCCAACACCAGAUUAAGCAGAAGACAAAAGAUGGAUGGAUGAAAAAGUUGUUCUGUCAACACCUGUGCGUUGCUAUGAGCUGCUAACUGGUGUGUUCCUUGGUCUUAAUAAUGCUCAGUCACACUUUACUACUUUACUUGUUUAAGGCAGCAAAUUCUGACAUAACUAGUGAUUCAAGAGCAUUUAAAUGUUGCUGCAGUGUUGAAUUCCUUGCAAAGAUACAAUCAGAGAAAGAUACACAAAAGGCAUGAAAAAUACUUCCUUGAAUUUCUGCACAGUGCUUAUUGUGUUGCGACAUUGCACACAGAUGUUUGUAUGCAUCAACCUAUCUUUGCGCAACAAUCUCUCCGUUCAAAACAUGAUUAGUCAUUUCUUCAAAGAUCACUUUCUCACUCCCACUCUGUGCUGGAAUAACUCCUACAUCUCUCCGCAGGAAAACAAGGUCUAUCCCAUCGACUUGUGUCCACAGGCUUUCAUGGGAUGAGGUAACCGAAGUGGCAAGAAGAUCCGAGAUACACAAGUUUAGUCUGGCAGACGUGAAAACAAGGAUGGUGGAAACCUUCGAGUAAAAGUGGAAUCUAUUCUUUCCUUUAUGAUGAUGUGAUAUGAUCAAAAAUUAAGGUAUUUUCCAGAUAGAAAUCAAAUAUGCAGACGACUACAGGGAUGAUGUGAGGUUAAAAGCAUUUCAGAUAAUCUGUUUGUGUGGAAUAAAGCCAGCAUUGAUGCAGGCAGCUUGUAUUUUCAUAGAGAUUUACGGUGAACUCUCAGAGACCCUAAAUGACAUUUCUAAACUAUUUUCCUCCCACCACUAAUGUCUGGACACACUUCCUGCAUUCUUUUACUUUCGCUUGAGUUCCUGUAAAACUUACAAAUUAUUGUAAAACUCACAGAGAAGUUUUGAUGAACAAACAGAUUUGAACAAACUGGAAAUAUUUGGUUCAGAUCAGAAACGCUGGUGGUUGAAAUAGAUUCUCCUCAGGAUGGUUAUUCUGAACAUUUUAGAAUAAUCCAAUUUUUAAUUUGGGAAAACAUUAAAUACUAAGAACAAUCCCAAUUUAACAGAAAAAUAAAGUUUUUGCCACACUCCCCACUGUCACAUUUAUUAGCACCCUUGUUGGCGACACUUUAAACUAAUUGAAAAACACUUCCACAUGUGGAAUUUGGCCACGUGGUUUUGAUCAGUACUCUACCGAAAACCCGAGUUUAUAUUUCAAAUGUCCAGGUGUUUCAAAAAAAAAUUACUUUGGAAAAGACUUAACGGUGAACACAAGGUUCAUUUCUGCAUAUGCAUCUUGCGUUUCAUGACCAACUCACCUGGUUUUUGUUGAAUGAAACGUUCCGUUUGUCUCAUAUGACCAGAGACCAAGGCUCUAGUUAAAAUCUCCAGGAGAGUUCAACAAACUCCACAUGUUUAUACGCUACGACAGAGACGGCUGUUUCGUCCAGAUGCCUCCCAAACAACAAGCUUGUUUGGAGUAAUGACGUCGGAUUGUUGUUAUGGAGACUUCACCCUGAGGUUUGGAGAUUUUUUUCCCUCCCUGCCCUAUCAUCCUGCUCAUGGGUUGUGGUGGAGAGAUCAACUUAACUUGUGGCUAAGAGAAGUGGGCCUCUUUAUCACAUUAUCUUCUUACUGUAGGAAAAUAAAAGUUGCUGAUUUCUAAUUUAAAA